UACGGAGGAUGCGAGCGUUAUCCGGAUUUAUUGGGUUUAAAGGGCGCGCAGGCGGUCUGUUAAGUCAGCGGUCAAAGCCCGGGGCUCAACCCCGGCCCGCCGUUGAAACUGGCAGUCUCGAGUUGGAGAGAAGUAUGCGGAAUGCGCGGUGUAGCGGUGAAAUGCAUAGAUAUCGCGCAGAACUCCGAUUGCGAAGGCAGCAUGCCGGCUCCACACUGACGCUGAGGCACGAAAGCGUGGGUAUCGAACAGG
rnacentral:rRNA from 1 species